AACAAGAAUUUUAGAAUCAGGUUGGGGGAGCGGUGCUCCCUGUCUAUAACGGCAGCAUAUUUUAAGCCUGAUUCUUCGCAUUGAAGUGAUGUACGGAGCUUAAGAGC
rfam:Beauveria bassiana D1-5 contig00025, whole genome shotgun sequence.